rnacentral:tRNA from 1 species
AAACAAUAGCAUUCUUUAAUGCAUGUCGGUUUCGGCCCGACAAGAGCGUCCGCACGCAUUGUUUU